CUCGUAGGCGGUUCGUCGCGUCCGGUGUGAAAGUCCAUCGCUUAACGGUGGAUCUGCGCCGGGUACGGGCGGGCUGGAGUGCGGUAGGGGAGACUGGAAUUCCUGGUGUAACGGUGGAAUGUGUAGAUAUCGGGAAGAACACCAAUGGCGAAGGCAGGUCUCUGGGCCGUUACUGACGCUGAGGAGCGAAAGCGUGGGGAGCGAACA
rnacentral:rRNA from 1 species